UGGCUCCAUAUGGAUACCAGCAGAGGUCGGGUGCAUGCAUAGCUACGAUCAGAAUCCAGGACAUCCGCAGCAUUCGAGACAUCCAUGGGAUCCGAGGUAUGGAGAUUCGAUCUCCGUUUUAUUUUUCUAACAGUUUAUUUUUCUGUUUUAGAUAUCAGAUCAUGUGUAUAUAUUCAUAUCAAGAUCUUUACUAUGAUUUUCAGAUCUGAUCUGAUACAUAAAUA
rnacentral:lncRNA from 1 species